GACGGAGGGGGCUAGCGUUGUUCGGAAUUACUGGGCGUAAAGGGCUCGUAGGCGGCCAACUAAGUCAGAUGUGAAAUCCCCAGGCUUAACCUGGGAACUGCAUCUGAUACUGGAUGGCUUGAAUCCGGGAGAGGGAUGCAGAAUUCCAGGUGUAGCGGUGAAAUGCGCAGAUAUCAGGAGGAACACCGGUGGCGAAGGCGGGUCUCUGGGCCGAUACUGACGCUGAGGAGCGAAAGCGUGGGGAGCAAACAGG
rnacentral:rRNA from 1 species